AUUUCUUAUUGCUCUAAUGCUCAUACUAAAAAGUCUGAUUCUCUUGAAAUCCUGUUUGCUCUUUGCAUAUUUAUUGGCUCUUUGCAUAUAUUAGACAACAUGCAAUACAGUCUGUCUUGCCAUUGUCUGUUGAAGUGCAGGUUUGAUCCAGCCAGUAUAGAACUAGCUCUGUAGGGGUGAGGAGGACUGUGCUGUGUAUCAUCCUUGAUUGUUCCUUCAAGGAGCAUUGCACUUGCCUUCCCAGACCUUCCACCUUAGGUUCUGCUGCAAAAAAGCAACAGGUAAGCACAACCUAAGGAAGUAUAUAAAUUUAAAUAUUUCAGUACAUUAAUGUUGUCCCUGUGAGAUCUUUGUGGUUGUGUAUUGAAAAGCAAUCUUCUGCUUUCCCAAAUGCAUUGUUACUCACGGUUCCAUUUCAGUGGAAAGUCUUUUUAAGUUUUUAAACAACUGUUUAUAUUUCUAGGUAAAUAUGUAUCGUUUUUUUCUUAAGAAAAGAUGAGUAGACUGCAGUAGUUGAAGUCAAGCAGAAUAAGUAGUCAUUUUUGUUCUUUUUCCUCAAAUAGCUACUUGUUGCAAUUAGAGAAUCAAAACCUUGAAAAUAUGCAGGAAUUACUUGUGAUAGAAAUGUCAACAGCCUUCACAAAUGUUUUUUCUAGUAGGGCACUGUUCUCACUCAAUCCAUAAGACGUAAAUACAAAGAAUAUAAGUUCUUGUUGCCGCUGAACUUGAUGACUUGUCUUACAGUUACAGUGUGUUAGUGGCAUUUUGAGAUAACUCAGUUUGCUAAUUCAUACUUGACGUGGUAGGAAAAUAGAAUCUGGAGUUUCACAGAUUAGUAUGUUUUACUUGGAAAAGCAUGUGCACCAAUUAAAUGUUAACGAUACAGCAAAUAAUAUUUUAUCCAUAUAUCAGUCAGUGUAUCUUGUUUCUUGCUACUUUAACUGAAUUGCUGUAUAUUUUGAUAGUUUAAAAUGUUUGUAUGUCUUAUAGAUGGUCUGGUACAGGUUUUUCUUUUUUUAGCUUAAAGUAAAGCAGCAUCUGUUUGUUUUUUUGUUGUUGAUUAUUCUGUUUCUGAAAUGUGCUGCUCCUCUUUCAAAAGUCCUGCUUAUCUGUACAUUCAAGAAAAAUAUUCAAAAAUACUGCCUUCAUUUUCACACACAGUGCUGAAGAUGCUGCAAGCACCAAAUCAUAGCUCAUAGAAUCAGGUCCUGAGAUAGUUACUACCAGUAAAGAGGAAUCCUUUGAGUGUAUGCCAUUGGUGAGCCGAUGAGCAUGGACCAUAGAAGGGCUCCAUGUAGAAGGUAAAAUUGGCAAAAGCAUAACAGAUUUGAAAUGUAUCCCAUGGUGUAGGGUAUAAUUUUGUUUUGAUCACUUCUCAUUCUUGAAAGUAUUAUUUGUUUGACCAUAAAUGUUC
rnacentral:lncRNA from 1 species